UACGGAGGGUGCAAGCGUUGUCCGGAUUUAUUGGGUUUAAAGGGUGCGUAGGCGGCCCGUUAAUUCAGUGGUGAAAGCCUCCAGCUCAACUGGAGAACUGCCAUUGAUACUGACGGGCUUGAGUACAGACGAGGUUGGCGGAAUUGAUUGUGUAGCGGUGAAAUGCAUAGAUACAAUCAAGAACUCCGAUUGCGUAGGCAGCUAACUAGGCUGUAACUGACGCUGAGGCACGAAAGCGUGGGGAGCGAACAGG
rnacentral:rRNA from 1 species